UGAGGAACAUGUCCUUCGGCGGGGAAGUAGCCGGCCUAACGGCCGGGUAAUUCCGCGUACGACGGUUGGGGCGCAUGCCUCGGCCGUGAAAGCAGCAAUGCGCCGAUGGAGUGCCUCGCGGCCUAUCAGCUAGUUGGUGAGGUAAUGGCUCACCAAGGCGACGACGGGUAGCUGGUCUGAGAGGAUGAUCAGCCACAUUGGGACUGAGACACGGCCCAGAUCCCGUA
rnacentral:rRNA from 1 species